AAAAUUCAUUGCAGACUUGAUUUUCGACGCGGUUGUGUUUGAUGUUCAGUAGCUGGUUUUCUUUCGGCGUUGAGGAAAAUUAGUUUGAAAAUGCGAUAGCGUUUUCUUGUUGUGCGUGAAAACUAUUCGUAUGACAUUGUUUGGUGAUAGUUUGUGCAUAUAGUAUGGCGUUGGGCAACGGCAGUACCCCAAAUGGUGGUGUUAGCGAAAAGGCCCCAGUGGUCAAUGGGACUAACAUGGAAACCUUACCCAGGACCGGAAAACAGACGGAUCCAAAUACAGCCUUCCUUCGAGCAGCUAGGGCCGGACAGCUAGACAAAAUCCAAGAAUAUCUGGAUUCUGGAACUGUCAGGGAUAUCAAUACGUCCAACGCAAACGGCUUAAAUGCUCUCCAUCUCGCAGCUAAAGAUGGCCAUGUCGAUAUCGCCAAAGAACUACUCAAGAGAGGUGCAGUGGUGGAUUCAGCGACCAAAAAAGGAAACACAGCUUUACAUAUUGCUUCUCUAGCUGGCCAAGAAGAAGUGGUACGUUUACUUGUCCAACACGGUGCUUCUUUGAACGUCCAAUCACAAAAUGGAUUCACUCCCCUCUAUAUGGCAGCUCAGGAAAAUCACGAUGGAGUUGUAAAAUAUCUUUUAUCCAAAGGGGCUAACCAAACUCUAGCUACAGAGGAUGGGUUCACUCCUUUGGCCGUCGCAAUGCAACAAGGUCACGAUCGAGUCGUAGCGGUACUUCUAGAGAACGACACCAGGGGAAAGGUACGUCUUCCAGCUUUGCACAUUGCCGCCAAGAAGGAUGACGUCAAAGCGGCAGGUUUGCUGUUGCAAAACGAGCACAAUCCUGACGUGACGUCGAAGAGUGGGUUCACUCCUUUACACAUCGCCGCCCAUUAUGGUAACGAUAAGGUGGCAUCAUUGCUCUACGAUAAGGGUGCCAACGUGAAUUAUACUGCCAAACAUAACAUCACACCUAUUCAUGUAGCGAGUAAAUGGGGUAAAAUCAACAUGGUGACGCUUUUGGUAGCCAAAGGUGCGGAUAUUCAAGCCAAAACUCGAGACGGUUUAACUCCAUUACAUUGUGCAGCGAGAAGUGGUCACGAUCAAGUGGUGGAUAUGUUAUUAGAGAAUGGUGCUCCAAUACAUGCUAAAACUAAGAAUGGAUUGGCUCCGUUACAUAUGGCAGCACAAGGAGAACACGUUGACGCAGCCCGCAUUCUUCUGUACCAUGGCGCACCUGUUGAUGAAGUUACAGUUGACUAUUUGACCGCCCUUCAUGUAGCGGCCCACUGUGGUCACGUGAGGGUAGCCAAGUUAUUACUUGAAAGGGGCGCCGAUGUAAAUGCUAGAGCUUUAAACGGCUUCACGCCUUUGCACAUAGCCUGCAAGAAAAAUAGGCUAAAGAUGGUAGAAUUGUUAAUCAAACACGGCGCAAGUAUCGGUGCUACGACCGAAAGUGGUUUGACGCCACUACACGUAGCGAGUUUUAUGGGAUGUAUGAAUAUUGUGAUAUAUUUACUUCAACAUGACGCCAGCCCUGACAUUCCGACUGUUAGGGGUGAAACACCACUGCACCUGGCCGCAAGAGCUAAUCAAACAGAUAUAAUAAGAAUUCUUCUUCGAAAUGGCGCAUCUGUAGAUGCCCGAGCGCGAGAAGAACAAACUCCACUCCAUGUAGCUUCUAGGUUGGGAAAUGUAGACAUUGUCAUGUUGUUACUGCAACAUGGUGCACAGCCUCAAGCUACCACAAAAGACUUAUACACUCCUCUUCAUAUUGCUGCCAAAGAGGGACAAGAAGAGGUUGCAUCGGUACUUUUAGACAAUGGUGCUGAUCUAACUGCCACUACCAAAAAAGGAUUCACACCCUUGCAUCUUGCUGCAAAAUAUGGCCAUCUUAAUGUUGCCAGACUUCUUUUACAAAGAGAUGCUCCUGCUAAUGCUCAAGGUAAAAAUGGAGUGUCACCACUUCACGUAGCAGCUCAUUAUGAUCAUCAACCUGUAGCACUAUUACUGCUAGACAAAGGAGCAUCUCCACAUGCCGCAGCUAAAAAUGGUCACACACCUUUACAUAUAGCAGCUAGAAAAAAUCAGAUGGAUAUUGCAACAACAUUGUUGGAAUAUGGAGCACAAGCAGACGCUGAAUCUAAAGCCGGAUUCACUCCUUUACAUCUCAGCGCCCAAGAAGGUCACUCUGAUAUGUCUUCCUUGUUACUAGAACAUCAAGCUAAUCCAAAUCACAUUUCUAAGAACGGACUUACACCUUUACAUCUUUGUGCCCAAGAAGAUCGUGUACCAGUUGCUCAACUCCUCCUCAGAGCGGGUGCUUUAAAAGAUGCUCAAACGAAAAGUGGAUACACGCCGUUGCAUAUUGCAUGUCAUCAUGGUCACGUCAACAUGGUGAGGUUAUUAGUUGAACAAGGAGCGGAUGUUAAUCCUGUCACAGGAGCGGGAUAUACACCGUUACAUCAAGCAGCCCAACAAGGACAUGUUUUAGUGAUUAGUUUGCUGCUUAAAAAUAAAGCUGAUCCUAAUGCUGUCACUCAGAAUGGGCAAACAGCUUUAGGAAUAUCAAAUAAGUUGGGAUAUAUUAGUGUCGUGGAAGAAUUAAAAGUAGUUACUGAACUAACAAUAAACACUACUACUACCAUGAGCAUUGAAGAAAAAUAUAAGGUUAUGGCUCCAGAAGCAAUGCAAGAAACCUUUAUGUCUGACUCGGAAGAUGAAGGAGGCGGAGUGGAUGAGCCGCCAGUGACAUAUGGCAGACCUGCGCAUGCGCAACACGUGUAUCUUCCUUACUACCAGGGACAAAUGACAUAUAUACGUGACGAUCCACUUCUUGGUGAUCAAGCACAAUACAAAUAUAUGACGGUGGAUGACAUGAAAUCUUUAGGGGACGAUUCCAGAAUGGACGUUACCCAUGACGAAAAAAGCGAAUAUAACAGAAAUUCUGUUGCUCCAUCACAAGUCAGCAAUGAGCUAAUUAUUCAUUCGCACAAUGUGAAAGAACUUUAUUCACAACUGGACAAUGUCGACAUUAAUAGACAGCCUGUUACUGCUGGCUUGUACGGCUCCGACAGUGAGUGGGUGCGGCUAGAAAGAUCCCUGUUGCACUUAGGUCCCAAGCCCAAAGUCCCAGGCACUGGCCUGUGCAGAGAAAGCUUUCUGGUAUCAUUUUUGGUGGACGCCCGUGGUGGAGCCAUGCGAGGAUGUCGGCAUUCAGGAGUAAGAGUUAUUGUUCCCCCUAGAUGUGCGCACGCACCCACUAGGGUAACCUGUCGUUACGUAAGAGCUCACAGGGCACCGCAUUCUCCACCUUUGAUGGAGGGAGAGGCACUGGCGAGUAGAUUAUUGGAGUUAGCACCUGUGGGAGCCAAAUUUUUGGGACCAGUUAUUAUCGAGGUGCCUCAUUUUGCCUCACUUCGUGGGAAGCAACGGGAAAUUAUCGUUUUGAGAUCAGAGAACGGUGAAACUUGGAAAGAGCAUACAUUGGAAGCCAACGAAGAGGCAAUUCAAGACGUUUUAAAUCACAGUUUUGACGGAGAAGAACUAAGUCAGUUGGAGGAUCUCCAUACAAACCGUAUUACCAGGAUAUUAACGAAUGAUUUCCCCCACUAUUUUGCUGUCAUUUCGAGAAUUAGGCAAGAAAUAUACGGAAUUGGUCCUGAAGGUGGUACUGUUUCUAGUUCUGCCGUUCCAUUGGUACAAGCUGUAUUUCCUCCAAAUGCUUUAACAAAGAAGAUUCGAGUGGGAUUACAAGCUCAAGCAAUUGAACCAGAGUUGGUUUCUAAGCUACUAGGCCAUGGAGUGGCAGUUUCGCCUAUCGUCACUGUAGAACCACGUCGUAGGAAAUUCCAUAAAGCUAUAAUGUUGAGCAUGCCAGCUCCUAAAGCCCAUUCACAGGGUAUGAUCAAUCAGUACCAAGGAGCUUCCAGUACCACUUUGAGGCUAUUGUGUUCCAUUACAGGGGGCCAAAAUAAAGCAGUUUGGGAAGAUGUAACUGGUUCCACUCCACUAACUUUCGUGAAAGACUGUGUAUCGUUUACCACCACAGUAUCUGCACGAUUUUGGUUAAUGGACUGCAGAAAUGUAGCUGAUGCGGCUAAAAUGGCUACAGAAUUAUACACUCAGGCUGCACAUGUACCUUUCAUGGCAAAAUUUGUCGUUUUUGCUAAGAGAGUGAGUCAGCUGGAAGCGAGGGUACGCGUUUUUUGUAUGACUGAUGACAAAGAAGACAAGACUUUAGAACACCAAGAACAUUUCACAGAAGUUGCCAAAAGUAGAGAUAUAGAGGUUUUGGAAGCCAAAGACAUUUACAUGGAAUUUGCGGGUAAUUUAAUUCCAGUUCUUCAAUCAAAUGACCAACCUCGCUUAGGAUUCAAGGCCUUCAAAGAAAACAGAUGCGCGUUUAAUAUGAGAUUAAGGGAUCAUGACGAAGAGCCAGUGGGUAGAAUAAUUUUCAUGUCUGAAGCUAAAGCCGGACGUACUGGUUAUACUCAAAGCAAUCCGCUUUGUACAUUGAACUUUAUUUUGCCUAAAGAAGUACUUCCCGACAGAGACUCACAGUCAGAUUUAUUAUCGAUUAACAAAGAUCAUAGUUAUCUGCAACAUGGAGGCAUUAGUAAACCAGACACAAUUCAUAGAGCCGAUUUUAGAUUGUCGGACAUUUGCAAUCUUCUCGAUGAAGAUUGGGAAAAAUUAGCUUUAGAGUUGGAUAUUCCCCCUUCAGAUGUAGAACUGAUUAAGGAAGAAUAUCCCGAAAACCAUCCGCAACAAGGAAUGAUUAUGUUUCGGUUGUGGUUGAGACAGAAAGCAAAUAAGGCUACAGGAAAUCAGUUGGAAUUAGCACUGAAUAAAAUUGGACGACAAGAUAUUGUAGACAAAUGUAUAUGCAACGUUGAGCUGGUUACAGAUGACAUGGAAAAAGCUCUUGCUAAAAUUCAUUUAGAUCAAUCUGGUUUUGACUAUUUAAAGGACGAAUUAGGUCCUUCACGUGACACAUCUUUGAGACGAGAUACUCACCUAGAUAGAUCGUAUUUAGGCAGCGAAGAAAAAUUAGAAAGAAGCGAAAAAAGUGAUGAAGUGGAUAAUGAGAACCAAAAUUCUACGGGAAAGGAUAUUUCAGAUACUAAUGUUGAUAAUAGAAGGCAACAUAUACCAACUUCUGAAAUUAUUUUAAAUGGCAAUCAGGAGAUUUCAGAAAAACCUCUUAAAGUAGUAGUUACAAAUAAGUUAGAUAAUGCUAUAACAACUCCCCCUCCUACUCCCAAUGAAUUCAGUAAUCAAGAAGACUUUGUUAAUAGAAAUGUUGACGAAAUUCAGAAUUUAGAAAGAAUUCCAAUCCAAGUCGACGAUGUCAAGCAACAAGAACUCUUCACUUCAACACCUUUAAAAAAAGGGUUAGAACCAGAUCUUAACCCUUUCGAAAUUUUAAAGAAAAACGUUAGUGACACGCUAACAUUCUUGCAUCAAGAACGAAACGAUUUCUUACCUCAAGAAGAUAUUAUCAUUCCUAGUCGAAAAGAUGAUCAUAUUUCGAAAGAGAUUGAUUUAGAAUAUAUUAGUUUAAAAACGCCAAAGAAAAACCAGGAAUUUGUCUUUAACGAAUCUAAGGAUAUUAAAAAAGAGAUUCCACAACAAGAACAACACGUUGAAAAAUUACAAUAUGCAACUAAAUCAACGAGUGUUAAAUCCGAUUUAGAAGUCAAUAAUGAAGAAAGUAUAACUGAAAACAGAGACGAACUUGUAAAAUUAGUCUCAGUAUCUACUCCAUCUGAAGAAAACUCCACAAACAAGACUUCUGAGGUUCGAUUCCAUGAAGAUGUUAGUCCAAAAGAUAACCAUGUGGAAAACUCCAUUCCUUAUGAUUAUGAAGAUUCCGUACGGGACAUUGCCCAACAGGAAGUCCAAGAUGUUAUUAAGCAAGCCGAAGAGGUAGUAAACUACAUGCAAAAUGAACAAGAACAGUUUUUGCCCAAUGAUAAAGAAAUUAAAUUCCACGUAGAAGAACGAGUAGAUAGCGUAUUUGAUGACAUAAGGACGAAUACUGAAGAUUCUUUAGACAAUUUAGAGAGUCUUAAAGACGACUCUAUUAGUGCUAUACAAGAGAAAAGCGAGGAAGCAUUUAAAUUCUUAGAACAAGAAGCCUCAAGUCCGUUGUUAUCGAAGCCAUCUCCCGAUACAGAUGAAUUCAUUUCGAAACACAGUUCAGCUUUAGACGAUUCCGCGGCCUUUAUACAGAGAGAAACAGAAUCUGAGUUGAAAGAUGAUAUAAGCUUUUCAGAAUCACAGAGUGAAGAUUCAUUGAGUCCAAAGAGCUCCAUUCCUCUAGCGAAGACGAGAAAGGGCAAAGACAAAAAGAAAGGAAAAAAUAAAAAUAAGAAAGAAGUAACUAAUGAUGAAGAAAACGACGAAACCAACAGAGAUUGCAAAUCCCCAACCGAAGACGAAUUACAAAGCAAAAUACCGAUAGUAAAAGGCAGUAAAGUCAAGACAAUCAAAAAGCAUUCGAAAGAUCCGCUAAAAGAAUUCGCUACGAUAUCCAAAGAUAUAGACUGGGAUAAAGACGACGAACAAACAGUUACAACGAAAAUAAUCAAAACGGUAACAACAGAUCCGAUCGUAAAAACGACAGUUACAAGAAUCACCUCAGAAACGCUACCCGAAAGUGUUAAAAGUAAAAUUCCUGUUCUGUCGAGCGGAUCGAGUCCCCAAAAAGACGAAAGAGCAUCGGCGGAGGAAUUGGGCGACCAGGGCAGUGGCAAAAGCAAAAUACCCGUACUUAAAACCGAGAGCAUGACGAUAACGCCGCCCGACGUCAUACUCACCGAAAGAACGACGGUGUCGCCCAGUUCGACGCGAGUCAUAGAAACGACAACGACGACGAUAGUAUCCCCUAUUUCUCAGACUUCAACAAAGUCGAGUACCGUCGAUUCAGACUCGGACGACGAGUCGAGACGACAGUCGCCGCGGUUGAAAAGCAUUUUGAAGAAGUCGCCUCAACAGCAGCCGCCCGUUCAUCCGGUAGGUAGUUCCAGUGGCUCCGACAUUGCGCUGCACGAAGAGGGCGGCGAAUUAAGUUCAGAUUCAGUUUAUGGCCCAGCCGAACAAAAACAAUGCUUAGAGAACGCCUGGCAUGCUAUGUACGUUCCCCUAGCCUGGUCGUUAUUCGCAAUAGCCACAAGCAUGAUCGUGUUGGCACUACUCGCACAGUACUGACUUCAUGCACUCCGUUAAAUUUCUUGCAAGUUGCUUUUUAAAAUAUUUCUAAAAAGAUUUUUAUCAUCAAGAGCCUCAAUAUACUGAAUCCACUGUUGAAGAAAUCGACCCUAUCACUGGAGCAAAAAUUACUAAAACGGUAAGGACUCUAAUUAACCAUUCCAUUGUG
rnacentral:misc_RNA from 1 species